UUUUUUUUCUGGAUAUAGCGGAUACCGAGGUACUAUUCGGCUCUUCUCCAUACCGCGAUGCCUGGUUUGGCUCCGCCACCACAUGUUUUAAUAAAAUGGUCUAUCUACAUUCGAUGAUACGGUGAAAUAUCGAUUAAUGUGUUAAAAUAUUUCUUAAAAAUUAAUGAAAACAGUGGUAUGGCUACUAAUUCUCGGUGUACACGACAUUACAAAAUCGUAUAUGUUAAUCACCAAAUCGAAAUAUUUUGAAAGUUAAAAAAUUUGAGCCAAGCAAUUUAGCUCGCACCGACGUCUCCAGUUCAGUUCCUAUUGGCAUAAUCGUGGUUUAGAAGUAGUUUUUGAGUUGGUUGCGAGAUUACAGCGGUCAUGGCGGAGAUGCGAGGAUAUCCAGUUUUGCUCCACCUUCCCCUACUCUCCUUAAAAGGGGAAGACAAGAUUUUUGCCAAUGUUGGCCAUUCCAUGGUCUGGGUGCCAGGUCAUGGAAUUCGUCGGUGUCCAUUACAAUUAUCGAGGUAUGUAAAAACAACAUUGGCCGGUUGGAUGUAGCCGUCUAUUUUCGGCACGACGCACACUGGUUGAAAACCAGUUUUUAGUAGGAAAAAAUUACAGUUUUGACUUCUUGACCAAAAUUUUAUACUUUUACUUACGAAUUACUGAAAGUAGCGUAUUUACAUAACAGAUAAAUACUGUUUAAUCAUACUUAUGUAUCUUAACCGUUAAAUUAUAAAGUAUCAGAAUCUGUAAAAUAUGUUUUUACUAGUUUUACCAAAAAAGAAAAUUAUUAUAAAAAAAUCACAGCAAAACUACUAAAUAUAAAUUGUUUCGGCAGUCGGUAAAAAUACUAUUCGUCAUCAAGACCGCAGUCGUCUUCGUUAUUUCUUGGUGGUAUAGGUGGUUGGUUAAUAAUUUUAAUACUUUUGAAGCGAGCGAAUUUUUCUUAUGUGGCAAAUAUUUCCGAGAAAUCCUGGAAAUAAUAGGUCGGAUGAUAGCCAUAAACUUUCGAAUAAGUCUUUAUUCGUAGCAUUACGCCUCAUAUUUCUGAUACCACUUUCUCUUAUGUAUUUAAAAUCUUGGUUUCGGGUUUCCCGCGCUUCCUUACUCAUUUGUCCUAUUGUAUAUAUCCAAUUACUUCAGAACCGUGCAUUAAAAUUUUGUCAACACUAGUCGACAACCACAAUCUCGAAAAUAGAAUACCGAGACAAAGUUCUACACUCUACAAUAAGCGACUGGGCUUCGUUUCUAAUAAGUAGAUAUGGUUUAUUAAAUUUAUUAUUUUCAACGCCAGAGUUUCUUCCACACCGAAAACAACUGGCCUGUUCGUAGGACUACAGAUUUAUUAGCCUGACCAUAUUUGUGUGUGUUUCAGAAGAAGACGAUGAUGUCAUCAAGGAUGGUUUUCCAUAUCUAUGUAGUUGUAGAUGUAUUCGAAAUGACUAUUGUUCGACGCUUUUGUUUUCUGUAAGUUUCUGUAUUUUUUAAUCCCGUUUCUUCGGAUAUCUCAUUUGUCGAAAGUUUUUGUAGGAUGCCGGACCGCGUGAUACGCUGGUUUGAGAAAAUGAAUGGGUAGGUCUCAAAAUUGCUUUCCUCGGCCACUAUUCUUUAUUCGUAACUCGAAGGCUAGAGUCCAAUGGUGAGAUUCUUUCCACCGCCUUUCUAUUUUUUCCGCAAAUUUUUCAGCGACUGCGUGGGUUACAUUUUGUUGGACGAACCAAGACAUUGUCCCAAACAAGAAACUGGUGUGGGUUUUAAGAUCCAGCACCGAAGCCACUGGUGGUAGAUGAUCGAAUGUCGUAUGGUGAUGGUCGUUAAAAAAAGGCAAAUAAAACGAAAACGGGCACAAAAUUUCUUAUCACCGUAACUCGGAUAGACGCUCGAUUAAAUAAUGUAUCAAUCACAUCCGGCCAUUUCCUACAUUUUUUGAAAUCUUAAUCUAAACACAGAAUUGAAUGAAAUAGGCCAGGUUGUUUACCCUCUGUCGACUCACCUUUUAUUUCGAGUGUUAAAUGUCAACGUAUCGAAAAUAAUGCCGAGUGUCUCUACUUAUCCGGUUGUCCUUCGAACACCGUCAAAAAUUUAUAAUCAUUCACACAUUUCAAAAAAAAAAAAAAACACUAUUUAAGACGAGUGAUAAACUGCGAUUGAAUUUUGAGCCGUCACCACGUACCGUUACUUUUGACGGGCGCUUUACUAAAGUAAUCGACCUUUUAGCCAAACAAAUUAUAUAUUUGAGUACCUCGGAAUGUUCCGUACGCGAUUAUUCAGGAAAACCGAGACAAAACAAGAAAUCGGUUUUUAUAAUACUUUGGUUCUAAAAAUCGAUUUGAACCACCGCGCCACGGUAGACUGAGACAGAGACAGGUAAAGUAAACGCGUAGAAAACGUCGAUGUUCUGUCAACGUUUCAAAAUAUUGGCUAAAGUUUUCGAAUAUCAGAAAAUUUUCUGUAUUAGAGAAGUAUUUCGGCAAAGUAUAAAAGUUUGGCCAAUUACAGAAAUGGUGGCAUUUAAUCGAAAUAUAAAUUUCAUAAAGGUGGAAAACCCGAGGUGGGUGAGGUGGCGCUCUACAAAAUAAGAGGUGGGCCAACUAGCGACCUAGUUAAUGGAAAUGGUAAGGUGACCGUUAAAAGGGUGUCCGUUUUACCCUUUUCGAUGACAGAUUUCGACCCGCGCGCCCCGGUAUCGGUUGGCUGGGACAGUACUCUGGCAUCAGAACCGUCCAUCGACAAUUUUAAUGGCGCUUAAAACCGAUAGACGGAAAACCACGGUAGGCUUAUCUUACUGGGUCGUGUUUCGAUAGCCGGAUUUUAUUAUUCGCGAAAUGUUUGGCAUUAUUUGGAAAAGGAUGGUCCGUAUUAGGAAAUUCCAGUCUGGUAUUCAGUGGUGUUUAUUCACCUGGCUAAACCAUUGGUGGAAUUUGUACGGAUGUCCGAACCGUGGGCGAUAAUUUGGGUAAGAUUUUUCCAGUGUGGAAAAGUUUUGCAUUUAUGGCGAUAAAAUGGCUAAAAAAGUUAGAAAUUUCAUUUUAAAAUUUAAAAUGGAUGGCCACCAACAUUUAAUAUUUUUAAGGAAAUUUUUCCAUCUUAGAUUUCCCUACCUAUUUUUCUUUAAAC
rnacentral:lncRNA from 1 species